AUUGAACGCUGGCGGCAUGCCUUACACAUGCAAGUCGAACGGCAGCACGGGGGCAACCCUGGUGGCGAGUGGCGAACGGGUGAGUAAUGCAUCGGAACGUGCCCAGUAGUGGGGGAUAACCAGUCGAAAGACUGGCUAAUACCGCAUACGACCUACGGGUGAAAGCGGGGGACCGUAAGGCCUCGCGCUAUUGGAGCGGCCGAUGUCUGAUUAGCUAGUUGGUAGGGUAAAGGCCUACCAAGGCCACGAUCGGUAGCUGGUCUGAGAGGAUGAUCAGCCACACUGGGACUGAGACACGGCCCAGACUCCUACGGGUGGCUG
rnacentral:rRNA from 1 species